AACGGCUGUAACUCUAAUGAAACAUUGCUUAGAAACUUCAUGACAGGUCAAACUAUCAGGAUGAUGAAAAGAAUCGAAGAUGGAAGAUGAGAUGCUCUAUUUCACAUAUACGCCCUCUGGAAGGGCUGGCAAAGGCAACCACUUAAAUUAAGCUCAGGUCAUCAGACAAGAUAUUUAAUCUAUUCCUAAGACAGAAACUUCUACAGCUGAAAUCCCUAUGGCCUUUAAAGCAACACAAUGAACUACUUUGUCGUGUACUCCUGUCAAGUCAUGUUAGGUUCCUUGGUUUUUAGAAGUGAUAUUUCAUGUACUCUUAUGAGCAAAUUGCUCAGAGCAAGGAAAAGUGUUUUGGUUUAUUUAUGACCUACUAACCUUAAAUAAAGAAAAAGAAGAAGUUUUAGCCAAUGUGAAUGUUCUCAGAAGCCUGGAGAUACGAAAUGUACAUAAAAUAAAUCUGGCAUUUGUAGCAUAGACUAGCAAAAGGCUCACAUGGCCAAUCCACAGGGUUUCUUUAAAAAAGAAGAUGGAAACCAGAUGAUGGAAGAAGUAGGGGUGAAAGUCACUCUUAACCAAUAAAUAAUAUAAAAUGCAGACUAUAGAACUGAAAGUUUAGAAGCAAGCAGAGAUUUUCAGAUUGUAUUCCAGGUGAGAAAUAAACAGAAGAAUGGAUGGUAAUACUGAGCUUUCAAGUAUGUUAUUAAUAAAAAGAAGUGGAAAUGAAAAGCAGCCAGCUCUGUUGUUAGAAAUACAAUCUCAAGACCGACAACUAAAUAACUCAUUUGUCUGAUUGAUAUCAUGGAAAUAAAAUAAUAAACUGGGGAAGGGAGAAACUAUAGGAAAAAGAAAAUAAAUAUAAAUAUAAAAAGGAAGAAUAUAACACCAAUAGCACUUAGACUUAUAUAUCAGCCUAUAGUCCUUUACAGCACUCUCUGAGAAGUUUACAAAUGUCAAUAGUGAUAUAUUAACUAUGAAUCAGGAAUCAGGAUCUAUUCAUGUGGUUUUUGAUGAAUACAUACAUAUACAUUUAAAAAGCCUACACAUAAAAAUAGAAGUGUUGCCUGUUUCUUUAGCUGAUUAUCAUAGUCUUGGUAGUAACCAGAGCAAGAGAGGAAAAAUGAUCAGGAACUCUCCCUAAUGUCUUAGAGAAGGCAAUACUCUUUUGUUUCAUUUUGGAUAAGGAACAAAAAUAACCUAUUUUUCGUUGGACACUUUAAAGAAAAGGAACAGGAAAAGGCAGGAAAUAAAAUACCACAAAUUAUUAAAAAACCAAGUAUUUAAAAAUAUAGAACUGAUGGGUUCUUAAAAUGUUAGUAACUAAUUUGUAAAAUUUAAAUACCUUGUAUAUAGUUACAUCAUCCUUAAACUGUUGACAUAAAUAACGGAAUAAAAUUCUACUUUAUAAAUUCAA